rnacentral:lncRNA from 1 species
CCUGCAGCCGCGGAUGCAACCUGUGGAAGAGGCGGGAGGAGGCCCGGGAGUCCGCCCCGCUGCGCCUUUCCUAGGGUGGGAGCGUGGACUCAGGCGCGGCCGCUGCUGCCACCUAGUGGGAGACGCCUGCUACUCCUCUCGGUUCCUAACCCCAGGGUCGUUCCCGGCUGAGCACUAAGGAGGGGGCGGGGGAGGACGGAGAGAGCCCUGUGCCCCUGGAUCUGCGGAUAGGAUGCAAGGGGGAGCCUCAGAGAGGAACCCCCCCCCCAGGAAGUGUGCAUUGCCCACACUACUUUUCCCCUCUGUGCCGUGAUUUCCUCCCGUGUAUAAGGGAGGCAAGAGUACCUGCCUCUGGGCUGGGCUUGGUGGCUCACGCCUGUAAUCCCAACACUUU